rnacentral:rRNA from 1 species
UACAGAGGUCCCAAGCGUUGUUCGGAUUCACUGGGCGUAAAGGGUGCGUAGGCGGUCGGGUAAGUCUGGCGUGAAAUCUCCAAGCCUAACUUGGAAACUGCGUUGGAUACUAUCCGGCUCGAGGAAUGGAGGGGAGACUGGAAUACUUGUGUAGCAGUGAAAUGCGUAGAUAUCAAGUGGAACACCAGUGGCGAAGGCGAGUCUCUGGACAUUUCCUGACGCUGAGGCACGAAAGCCAGGGGAGCAAACGGG